rnacentral:rRNA from 1 species
GACGUAGGUGGCGAACGUUAUCCGGAAUUAUUGGGCGUAAAGGGUGCGUAGAUGGCUUGAUAAGUUAGCGGUGGUAAAUCGAGGCUCAACCUCGUGGAAGCUGGUAAUACUGUCAGGCUCGAGUGCAGGAGAGGUUAACGGAACUCCAUGUGGAGCGGUAAAAUGCGUAGAUAUAUGGAAGAACACCAAUAACGGCGAAGGCAGUUAACUAUUCUGCUACUGACAGUGAGGCACGAAAGCGUGGGGAGCAAAAAGG